GACAAGCAUGGUGGUGUGCACCUGUAGUCCUAGCUACUCUGGAGGCUGAAGCAGGAGAAUCACUUGAGUCCAGGACUUCUGGGCUGUAGUGUGCUAUGGUGAUAUAAGUUUGGCAUUAAUAUGGUGACCUCCUGGGAUUGGGGGACCACCAGGUUGCCUAAGAGAGGUGAACCAGCCCAGGUUGGAAAUGGAGCAAAUCCAAACUUCUGCGCUGACCAAGCCCCAGUAUGAAAAAAAAAGUAAAAU
rnacentral:SRP_RNA from 1 species